GUUCGAAACACAUCUCUCCGAAGUUGCUCCUACGCUUCACUUCAAAAUUAUUAGUUAAAUAUUCUCUUUCAUUAAUGAAGCUCUGCCUCAUUUAAAAUGGUAAUCAGAAGAAAUACUUGUGUACAGUAAAGCCAGAAAUGAAACCAAUCGUACCAAACUAAUAAAUUAAGAUUGAAAUCUUAAAGUACGAUGCGAAAGGGAAAUGGUGGAAGAAUCUAGUGCCCAACGAAUUGGAUUUAAAUUAGUUCGACGAUUCGUUGGACACGAGGACUUACGUACACAUGGGCAAACUGAUUACCAUCAUUUAAAUGAAGAUGCAUGAGCCACGACAAAGCCACACAACAUCGAGAAAUAUUUUCUCCGAGGCUAUAAAAAAUGAAAAAAAAAUCCAAGAAAUCCCAAAAAAAUACAAGAAAAAAUUUCAAAAAUGAAGAAAACAGCAUUAACAAAAAACCGUCUCCAAAAGUUCUACUAAAAAAGCUGAGGAUUGGAAUGUUCCCGUUGGAGUUCCACUCAUUCAGAUCAUUUUCCCCCGGAAUUCCGGGGGUUUUACGGUAAGUCAUAUGUCCAUUAGUAUCGAAAUUUUAAAGGCUUCGUUAAAAGAAAAUCCGACAGUUUCCAACCUUAAUUCAUUCGCUUGUGCUGUUGCAUUAGUGCUUUCCAACGGCGUAGUUCUUUUGUCUUCGAGUUUGGUUUCCCGAAGUCAUAGUAACAUGUCUAUCUGUGUACUUUCAGUUUAUGGAAAUUUUUCCAUAGUAUGGGCGCCUACUUUUUAACUCAUCUAACAUCUGAGAGUUAAGCGUGUUUAUAGUAAUUCUCAUUUUAGAAUUGUACCGAAGUAAUUCUUCCUUAUAUUUUAAUCUGUAUUUUAAGACGGUAAAUGUGUUUCCCAAAAGAUUUAUGUUGUAUAUAACUUGAAGGUUGAAAAAAUCGACAAUGGGUCGAACCCAUUUGAUAACAACCAAACCAAAAUUAAAUUAACCACAUAAGUUAGGGUUAAACAAAGUAGUUUUAUAUGUAAAGUUAUAUUAUACUUAAAUAUUUGGGAAUCACAUUUAUAGUCAUUUAGUGUAGAUUAAAAUAUAAGGAUGAAAUUGAUUCGGGACAGUUCUACCAUUAGAGUUAUUAUAACAAAUCGUGCAUCAUUAAAUGUUGUUCAUACUUCCAUUAAAAAUUGGAUCGAUUGGGACCAAAUUCGAACGCGAAUGGAGCUAUGACUGACGGAAAGCCAUAGUAUGGGUCUACGUUUUAACUCAACUAACAUCUGAAAAUGAAGCAUGUUUAUAGUAAUUAUAAUUUUAGAAUUGUACCGAAGUAAUUCUUUCUUAUAUUUUAAUCUGUACUUUAAGACGGUAAAUGUGUUUCCCAAAAGAUUUAUGUUGUAUAUAACUUGAAGGUUGAAAAAAUCGACAAUGGGUCGAAACCAUUUGAUAACAACCAAACCAAAAUUAAAUUAAUCACAUAACUUAGGGUUAAACAAAGUAGUUUUAUAUGUAAAGGUAUAUUAUACUUAAAUAUUUAGGAAUCACAUUUAUAGUCAUUUAGUGUAGAUUAAAAUAUAAGGAUGAAAUUGAUUCGGAACAGUUCUACCAUUAGAGUUAUUAUAACAAAUCGUGCUUCACUAAAUGCUACUCAUACUUCCAUUAACAACUGGAUCGAUUGGGACCAAAUUCGAAGGCGAAUGGAGCUAUGACUGACGGAAAGCAACGAUGCAAUAGUAUUAGUCAAUGAAUUAAAGUUGGAAAUGUAGUUUAUUUCAAGUCGAGCUGUUUAGAAUUUCAAUACUAUGAAGGCAUAUUUCUUACCGGAAAACACCCCGGUCUUCCACGGAAGAUCUUCAAAAAAAACAUAAAUGAAAAUGCAAAAAAGAGUAUAAUCCAACAGAUGUAUUGACAUAUAUAACAUAUCAUAAUUUUGACUAUUGCAGUAAUUUGUUGUGGGCAAUUAACAAGUUAAAGUUAUUGCUUGUCAAAAAAACAAUAAAAAAAUGGUUAUCGUA